rnacentral:rRNA from 1 species
GAGAGAAGCUUGCUUCCUUGUCGGCGACCGGCGCACGGGUGAGUAACGCGUAUCCAACCUUCCCCUUAGUAGGGCAUAGCCCGGCGAAAGUCGGAUUAACACCCUAUGUUAUCCGAAGAGGACAUCUGAAUUGGAUUAAAGGUUUACCGCUAAGGGAUGGGGAUGCGUCUGAUUAGGUAGUAGGCGGGGUAACGGCCCACCUAGCCGACGAUCAGUAGGGGUUCUGAGAGGAAGGUCCCCCACAUUGGAACUGAGACACGGUCCAAACUCCUACGGGAGGCAGCAGUGAGGAAUAUUGGUCAAUGGGCGAGAGCCUGAACCAGCCAAGUAGCGUGCAGGAUGACGGCCCUAUGGGUUGUAAACUGCUUUUAUACGGGGAUAAAGUGAGGGACGUGUCCCUUUUUGUAGGUACCGUAUGAAUAAGGACCGGCUAAUUCCGUGCCAGCAGCUGC